UACGUAGGGGGCAAGCGUUGUCCGGAAUCAUUGGGCGUAAAGAGCGCGUAGGCGGUCCGGUAAGUCCGCUCUGAAAGCCCGGGGCUCAACCCCGGGAGGCGGGCGGAUACUGUCGGGCUAGAGUCCGGAAGAGGCGAGUGGAAUUCCUGGUGUAGCGGUGAAAUGCGCAGAUAUCAGGAGGAACACCAAUGGCGAAGGCAGCUCGCUGGGACGGUACUGACGCUGAGACACGAAAGCGUGGGGAGCAAACAGG
rnacentral:rRNA from 1 species